AUAAAAUCUAUUUAAAACUUACCUUCCUCAACAAUUUAACGACGUAAUAUGCCUUUAUGUGAAAUGACAGUUAAAACAGUGUUACAAUUAUAUUUUUACGAGUCAUUGUACGAAAAUAAGCAUGGGUUUUGGUCUGACAUACAUAUUUUAAAGCCAUUGCAAAUAAUUUUUUCUAUGUGUUUGUUGUUGUGCCGUUGCACCAAUUCUGCAAUUCGUGAAUGGUGCAAUGGUUUUGCAAGAGCAAGGGAAUCCCCCUUAUAUGUGAACUGGGCCCGAAUCGCUGCAGUCGUGAGCGAGCAAGCAAUCGAAUCGAGUGAAAUUUCGUAACGUGUCGAGUGUGCGGAUCGUCACACUCGAUGCGAAACGAAUAGAAAUUUUAUGAAAUAACUUCCCUGGUGGAGCCCUAAAUGACAUUUUCGAAUAACGAAACAAAAUAAAAGAAAGAAGUAUUUGAAUUGGAAUUGAACGCAAAAAAAUUAACCCUAGUGCGUUUUUUAUUCAAGUUCAUCUGAUUCAGAUGAAGAAACUCCACCCAAUGGCCAUAAGGUCCAGGAUUUGUGAAAAAAGUAAUUCCAUGGCUUUACCUGAAGCAGAAUUCAGGAAGCGGUUUAGACUGACCAAAGACGCAUUUACUUUCAUCCUAUCGGAAAUAGAAUUUAACGGGCAUUUAUCAACCGCAGUGUCACCAAUUCUUCAAUUAGCAGCGACUUUGUCCCUUUUGGCGAGUGGAGGCUAUCAACACUCAGUUGGAAACGACUUUUUAAUUGGAAUGUGUCAAACCACAGUAUGUAAAAUUGUAGGGGACGUGGUUAAUGAAAUGGAAACAAAACUUUGUCCACAUUUCAUUAAGAAUACUUUGUUGAGAAAUAUAAAGUUUCAUGAGGUAUGUUUA
rnacentral:lncRNA from 1 species